rnacentral:misc_RNA from 1 species
GAUGAAGAACGUAGCGAAAUGCGAUAAGUAAUGUGAAUUGCAGAAUUCAGUGAAUCAUCGAAUCUUUGAACGCACAUUGCGCCCCCCGGUAUUCCGGGGGGCAUGCCUGUUCGAGCGUCAUUUCACCACUCAAGCCUCGCUUGGUAUUGGGCAACGCGGUCCGCCGCGUGCCUCAAAUCGUCCGGCUGGGUCUUCUGUCCCCUAAGCGUUGUGGAAACUAUUCGCUAAAGGGUGUUCGGGAGGCUACGCCGUAAAACAACCCCAUUUCUAAGGUUGACCUCGGAUCAGGUAGGGAUACCCGCUGAACUUAAGCAUAUCAAUAAGCGGAGGA